rnacentral:rRNA from 1 species
AGUGAACGCUGGCGGUAGGCCUAACACAUGCAAGUCGAACGGCAGCACAGUAAGAGCUUGCUCUUACGGGUGGCGAGUGGCGGACGGGUGAGGAAUACAUCGGAAUCUACUUUUUCGUGGGGGAUAACGUAGGGAAACUUACGCUAAUACCGCAUACGACCUACGGGUGAAAGCAGGGGAUCUUCGGACCUUGCGCGAUUGAAUGAGCCGAUGUCGGAUUAGCUAGUUGGCGGGGUAAAGGCCCACCAAGGCGACGAUCCGUAGCUGGUCUGAGAGGAUGAUCAGCCACACUUGAACUGAGACACGGGCCAGACUCCUACGGGAGGCAGCAGUGGGGAAUAUUGGACAAUGGGCGCAAGCCUGAUCCAGCCAUACCGCGUGGGUGAAGAAGGCCUUCGGGUUGUAAAGCCCUUUUGUUGGGAAAGAAAAGCAGCAGGUUAAUACCCCGCUGUUCUGACGGUACCCAAAGAAUAAGCACCGGCUAACUUCGUG